rnacentral:rRNA from 1 species
UGAGAUGAGUAUUCUAAGGCGCGUGAAAGAACUCUGGUUAAGGAACUCUGCAAACUAGCACCGUAAGUUCGCGAUAAGGUGUGCCGCAGCAAUGCGUUCUCAGCAAAGAGUCCCUCCCGACUGUUUACCAAAAACACAGCACUUUGCCAACUCGUAAGAGGAAGUAUAAGGUGUGACGCCUGCCCGGUGCUCCAAGGUUAAGAGGAUGCGUCAGUCGCAAGAUGAAGCGUUGAAUUGAAGCCCGAGUAAACGGCGGCCGUAACUAUAACGGUCCUAAGGUAGCGAAAUUCCUUGUCGGUUAAAUACCGACCUGCAUGAAUGGCGUAACGAGAUGCGAGCUGUCCCAACCAGAGAUUCAGUGAAAUUGUAGUGGAGAUGAAAAUUCCUCCUACCCGCGGCAAGACGGAAAGACCCCGUGGACCUUUACUACAACUUAGCACUGCUAAUGGGAAUAUCAUGCGCAGGAUAGGUGGGAGGCUUUGAAGUAAGGGCUUUGGCUCUUAUGGAGA